UGGAAGAUGACUUGAUAGUAGAGAGCAUGCCUUAAAUGUAUGAAGCCCUGGGUUUGAUUCCCAGUACUCCAU
rnacentral:tRNA from 1 species